UGGUUAUAGUUAAAGUAUUGAUUGUUACUAAAUUGUUAUUUUAAAAAUGUUAUUUCAUGACUAGACGUAUUACCUUUCAUUAGCAUAUGCUUUCUGAUGCAGUACACAAUUCCAAUAUUCCAGGAAAAUUACAUGUUAACAAAAUUGGUUGAGUUUCCUGUUUCAAAAAAUUAUCCCUGAUAUGUGGCUUUCAAAAGUCAUUAAUUUUUAGAGGGCUCCUGCCAUAAAAUAUAUUGACAAUAAUCUCAGAACUCAAUGUGUGGCAAAGCACAUGGUUAAGCAUCUGAAGCCCUCAUCAGAGGAAGAUGCUGGUUCCAUACUUCUUCUAAACCACAUAAACCUCUUUUCUUUAUAAAUUACCCAGGUUCGAGUAUUCUUUUAUAGCAACACAAAACACAGGAUGUAUUUUCACGCGCCCCCCAAAAUUUUGGAAGAACACCCUCUUUUAAAAAUCACUCUCGGGAAAAAAAACUCUUUUU
rnacentral:lncRNA from 1 species